UAUGGCUCAGGACAACGCUGGCGGCGUGCCUAAUACAUGCAAGUCGAACGGUCUUUCUAUGGAAGCUUGCUUCCACUGAGAAGAUAGUGGCGAACGGGUGAGUAACACGUGGGUAACCUGCCCAUAAGAGGGGGGAUAACAUCCGGAAACGGGUGCUAAUACCGCAUAGUUUUCUUGAUCGCAUGAUCGGGAAAGGAAAGACGGCCUUUGUGCUGUCGCUUAUGGAUGGACCCGCGGCGUAUUAGUUAGUUGGUGAGGUAACGGCUCACCAAGACGAUGAUACGUAGCCGACCUGAGAGGGUGAUCGGCCACAUUGGGACUGAGACACGGCCCAAACUCCUACGGGAGGCAGCAGUAGGGAAUCUUCCGCAAUGGACGAAAGUCUGACGGAGCAACGCCGCGUGAGUGAAAGAAGGUUUUCGGAUCGUAAAACUCUGUUGUCAGAGAAGAACAAGUUGGAGAGUAACUGCUCCAGCCUUGACGGUAUCUGACCAGAAAGCCACGGCUAACUACGUGCCAGCCGCCGC
rnacentral:rRNA from 1 species